rnacentral:rRNA from 1 species
UGGGCUUAAAUGGGGAGUGACAGCUGUCGAAAGAUGGUUUUCUUCGGACACUCUUCAAGGUGCUGCAUGGUUGUCGUCAGCUCGUGCCGUGAGGUGUCGGGUUAAGUCCCAUAACGAGCGCAACCUUACCGUUAGUUACCAUCAGGUUAAGCUGGGGACUCUAGCGGGACUGCCACCGUAAGGUGAGAGGAAGGUGGGGAUGACGUCAAAUCAGCACGGCCCUUAUGUCCAGGGCUACACACGUGUUACAAUGGCCGGUACAAAGGGCAGCUACUUCGCGAGAAGAUGCUAAUCUCGAAAGCCGGUCUCAGUUCGGAUCGAAGUCUGCAACCCGACUUCGUGAAGCCGGAAUCGCUAGUAAUCGCGGAUCAGCCAUGCCGCGGUGAAUACGUUCCCGGGCCUU